rnacentral:rRNA from 1 species
CCUACGGGAGGCAGCAGUAGGGAAUCUUUCACAAUGGGCGAAAGCCUGAUGGAGCAACGCCGCGUGCAGGAUGAAGGCCUUCGGGUUGUAAACUGCUUUUAUAAGCGAGAAAUAUGAUGGUAACUUAUGAAUAAGGAUCGGCUAACUACGUGCCAGCAGCCGCGGUCAUACGUAGGAUCCGAGCAUUAUCCGGAGUGACUGGGUGUAAAGAGUUGCGUAGGUGGCAUAAUAAGUAGCUAGUGAAAUCUGGUGGCUCAACCAUUCAGACUAUUAGCUAAACUGUUAAGCUCGAGACCGUUAGGGGUAACUGGAAUUUCUAGUGUAGGAGUGAAAUCCGUAGAUAUUAGAAGGAACACGAAUAGCGUAGGCAGGUUGCUGGGACGGUUCUGACACUAAGGCACGAAAGCGUAGGGAGCAAACGGGAUUAGAUACCCCUGUAGUC